rnacentral:rRNA from 1 species
GAUGAACGCUGGCGGCGUGCCUAAUACAUGCAAGUCGAGCGAACGGACGAGAAGCUUGCUUCUCUGAUGUUAGCGGAGGACGGGUGAGUAACACGUGGAUAACCUACCUAUAAGACUGGGAUAACUUCGGAAAACCGUAGCUAAUACCGGAUAAUCUUUUGAACCGCAUGGUGCAAAAGUGAAAGACGGUCUUGCUGUCACUUAUAGAUGCAUCCGCGCUGCAUUAGCUAGUAGGUACGGUAACGGCUUACCACGGCGACUAUGCAUAGCCGACCUGAGAGAGUGAUCGGCCACACUGGAGCUGAGCCACGGUCCAGACUCCUACGGGAGGCAGCAGUAGGGUAUCUUCGGCAGUAGGCGAGAGCCUUACGGAGCAGCGCCGCGUGAGUGAUGAAGGUCUUCGGUUCGUAAAGCUCUGUUUUUGGGGAUGAACAUCUGUCUCCUUUAACGUGGACAUCUUGACGGUACCUAAUCAGAAAGCCCCGGCUAACUACGUG